CAGUCGCCACGGGAAUACAGAGGGUGCGAGCGUUAAUCGGAUUUACUGGGCGUAAAGCGUGCGUAGGCGGCUUCUUAAGUCGGAUGUGAAAUACCUGAGCUUAACUUAGGAAUUGCAUUCGAUACUGGGAAGCUAGAGUAUGGGAGAGGAUGGUAGAAUUCCAGGUGUAGCGGUGAAAUGCGUAGAGAUCUGGAGGAAUACCGAUGGCGAAGGCAGCCAUCUGGCCUAAUACUGACGCUGAGGUACGAAAGCAUGGGGAGCAAACAGGAUUAGAUACCCCCGUAGUCCCUGUCUCUUAUAC
rnacentral:rRNA from 1 species